UACAGAGGUCUCAGGCGUUGUUCGGAAUCACUGGGCGUAAAGGGUGCGUAGGCGGGUCUUUAAGUCAGGGGUGAAAUCCUGGAGCUCAACUCCAGAACUGCCUUUGAUACUGAAGAUCUUGAGUUCGGGAGAGGUGAGUGGAACUGCGAGUGUAGAGGUGAAAUUCGUAGAUAUUCGCAAGAACACCAGUGGCGAAGGCGGCUCACUGGCCCGAUACUGACGCUGAGGCACGAAAGCGUGGGGAGCAAACAGG
rnacentral:rRNA from 1 species